UACAGAGGGGGACAAGCGUUGUUCGGAUUCAUUGGGCGUAAAGGGUGCGUAGGCGGCGCGGUAAGUCGGGUGUGAAAUCUCGGAGCUUAACUCCGAAACUGCAUUCGAUACUGCCGUGCUUGAGGACUGGAGAGGAGACUGGAAUUUACGGUGUAGCGGUGAAAUGCGUAGAUAUCGUAAGGAAGACCAGUGGCGAAGGCGGGUCUCUGGACAGUUCCUGACGCUGAGGCACGAAGGCCAGGGGAGCAAACGGG
rnacentral:rRNA from 1 species